CAAAGCUUUUGAAAUCCAAUUUCAAAUUUCAAAUUUAAUCACCUUUUUGAAAAUUACAUCUUAAUCCCAUAUUAAAAUUAAAACUAGGUCCUUCAAUAUUCAAAAUUGCACGAAAAUUACAAUAUGCCAUGUGUUUAAUUGCAGGUAGGGGCUUUCGUCUCAUAAAUUACGAGAGAGGCUCCCGUCCCGAAGUUAUCACAGCAGACCGAAAUUAAACCCAAAAUAAAAAUAACAAAACUACCACCCAUUUUGGAGCCGGUCGACGUAACCACCAACCGGCCGAAUCUCUCCCAGCGGCCGCCCGAUAUAUCAUAAAGAUUUAACAUUAAUUCUCAAUUUUAUAGUAAUAAAAAUAAAAUAAAACCGCAAACAUAUAACAAUGGCUGUCGGUGCCUUUUCUUCUAUACUGAGUUCAAUAGAUUUCUUCCUUCAACAACAUCAAUUCUCAUCCCAAUUAAUUCAUCAAAGGGGGAAAAAAGAUGAAAAACCGACAACAAAUUUUGAUGGUGUCAAAACCCCAAAUCAAUUGGCAAGCAAAAGCACCGCUACAUCGCGGCAGAGGAGUAGCGCAGAACUGCUUCUGAAUUAAUUCAUUUUGUUUAGACAUUUGAGAAUUAGAGAGGAGAGAGAAAACUUGAUUCAUUUAUGGCUUUGGUUUGGUUUCUUU
rnacentral:lncRNA from 1 species